GGGUUGUGAGGUUAAGCGACUAAGCGUACACGGUGGAUGCCCUGGCAGUCAGAGGCGAUGAAGGGCGUGCUAAUCUGCGAUAAGCGCCGGUAAGGUGAUAUGAACCGUUAUAACCGGCGAUACCCGAAUGGGGAAACCCAGUGUGAUUCGUCACACUAUCAUUAACUGAAUCCAUAGGUUAAUGAGGCGAACCGGGGGAACUGAAACAUCUAAGUACCCCGAGGAAAAGAAAUCAACCGAGAUUCCCCCAGUAGCGGCGAGCGAACGGGGAGGAGCCCAGAGCCUGAAUCAGCAUGUGUGUUAGUGGAAGCGUCUGGAAAGGCGCGCGAUACAGGGUGACAGCCCCGUACACAAAAGCGCAUGUGCUGUGAGCUCGAUGAGUAGGGCGGGACACGUGGUAUCCUGUCUGAAUAUGGGGGGACCAUCCUCCAAGGCUAAAUACUCCUGACUGACCGAUAGUGAACCAGUACCGUGAGGGAAAGGCGAAAAGAACCCCGGCGAGGGGAGUGAAAAAGAACCUGAAACCGUGUACGUACAAGCAGUGGGAGCACAGGUUUACCUGUGUGACUGCGUACCUUUUGUAUAAUGGGUCAGCGACUUAUAUUCUGUAGCAAGGUUAACCGAAUAGGGGAGCCGGAGGGAAACCGAGUCUUAACCGGGCGUUAAGUUGCAGGGUAUAGACCCGAAACCCGGUGAUCUAGCCAUGGGCAGGUUGAAGGUUGGGUAACACUAACUGGAGGACCGAACCGACUAAUGUUGAAAAAUUAGCGGAUGACCUGUGGCUGGGGGUGAAAGGCCAAUCAAACCGGGAGAUAGCUGGUUCUCCCCGAAAGCUAUUUAGGUAGCGCCUCGUGAAUUCAUCUCCGGGGGUAGAGCACUGUUUCGGCUAGGGGGCCAUCCCGGCUUACCAACCCGAUGCAAACUGCGAAUACCGGAGAAUGUUAUCACGGGAGACACACGGCGGGUGCUAACGUCCGUCGUGAAGAGGGAAACAACCCAGACCGCCAGCUAAGGUCCCAAAGUCAUGGUUAAGUGGGAAACGAUGUGGGAAGGCCCAGACAGCCAGGAUGUUGGCUUAGAAGCAGCCAUCAUUUAAAGAAAGCGUAAUAGCUCACUGGUCGAGUCGGCCUGCGCGGAAGAUGUAACGGGGCUAAACCAUGCACCGAAGCUGCGGCAGCGAACGUAUCACUUAAAGCGAUUCAGCGGGUUACGAUUGACGGAGCGAAGCGACGUCAAAGCGUAUACAAAGUCGAGUCGGUUUAAGGAUACGUUCGUUGGGUAGGGGAGCGUUCUGUAAGCCUGUGAAGGUGGCCUGUGAGGGUUGCUGGAGGUAUCAGAAGUGCGAAUGCUGACAUAAGUAACGAUAAAGCGGGUGAAAAGCCCGCUCGCCGGAAGACCAAGGGUUCCUGUCCAACGUUAAUCGGGGCAGGGUGAGUCGACCCCUAAGGCGAGGCCGAAAGGCGUAGUCGAUGGGAAACGGGUUAAUAUUCCCGUACUUGGUGUUACUGCGAAGGGGGGACGGAGAAGGCUAUGUUGGCCGGGCGACGGUUGUCCCGGUUUAAGCGUGUAGGUGUGUGUUCCAGGUAAAUCCGGUUCACUUUAACACUGAGGCGUGAUGACGAGGCACUACGGUGCUGAAGCAACAAAUGCCCUGCUUCCAGGAAAAGCCUCUAAGCAUCAGGUAACAUCAAAUCGUACCCCAAACCGACACAGGUGGUCAGGUAGAGAAUACCAAGGCGCUUGAGAGAACUCGGGUGAAGGAACUAGGCAAAAUGGUGCCGUAACUUCGGGAGAAGGCACGCUGA
rnacentral:rRNA from 1 species